GACGAACCGUGCAAACGUUGUUCGGAAUCACUGGGCUUAAAGGGCGCGUAGGCGGCUCAUCAAGUCGGGGGUGAAAUACUUCAGCUUAACUGGAGAAGUGCCUUCGAUACUGGUGGGCUUGAGGGAGGUAGGGGUCUUUGGAACUUCUGGUGGAGCGGUGAAAUGCGUUGAUAUCAGAAGGAACGCCGGUGGCGAAAGCGAAGGACUGGACCUCUUCUGACGCUGAGGCGGACGAAAGCUAAGGGGAGCAAACGGGG
rnacentral:rRNA from 1 species